AGGACGAACGCUGGCGGCGUGCUUAACACAUGCAAGUCGAGCGGAAAGGCCCUUCGGGGUACUCGAGCGGCGAACGGGUGAGUAACACGUGAGCAACCUGCCCUUAGCUCCGGGAUAGCUCCGGGAAACCGGAAUUAAUACCGGAUACAACCCCGGCCGACAUCGGCCGGUGUGGAAAGAAUUUCGGCUAGGGAUGGACUCGCGGCCUAUCAGCUUGUUGGUGGGUAACGGCCUACCAAGGCGACGACGGGUAGCCGG
rnacentral:rRNA from 1 species